rnacentral:sRNA from 1 species
UACCAUACGGAGCUUCGCCACCAGACGC